rnacentral:rRNA from 1 species
UGGGGAAUAUUGCACAAUGGGCGCAAGCCUGAUGCAGCCAUGCCGCGUGUAUGAAGAAGGCCUUCGGGUUGUAAAGUACUUUCAGUCGGGAGGAAGGUGGUAAGGUUAAUAACCUUAUCAAUUGACGUUACCGACAGAAGAAGCACCGGCUAACUCCGUGCCAGCAGCCGCGGUAAUACGGCGGGUGCAAGCGUUAAUCGGAAUUACUGGGCGUAAAGCGCACGCAGGCGGUUGAUUGAGUCAGAUGUGAAAUCCCCGGGCUUAACCCGGGAAUUGCAUCUGAUACUGGUCAGCUAUAGUCUUGUAGAGGGGGGUAGAAUUCCAUGUGUAGCGGUGAAAUGCGUAGAGAUGUGGAGGAAUACCGGUGGCGAAGGCGGCCCCCUGGAAAAAGACUGACGCUCAGGUGCGAAAGCGUGGGGAGCAAACAGG